rnacentral:rRNA from 1 species
UACGUAGGAUGCAAGCGUUGUCCGGAUUUACUGGGCGUAAAGCGCGCGCAGGCGGCACUCUAAGUACGUCGUGAAAUAUCCCGGCUCAACCGGGAGGGUGCGAUGUAGACUAGGGAGCUAGAGGUCGGUAGAGGGGGGUGGAAUUGCUGGUGUAGCGGUGAAAUGCGUAGAGAUCAGCAGGAACACCCGUGGCGAAGGCGGCCCCCUGGGCCGAUACUGACGCUGAGGAGCGAAAGCGUGGGGAGCAAACAGG